rnacentral:tRNA from 2 species
GCCCGGAUGGUGGAAUGGUAGACACGAGGGACUUAAAAUCCCUUGGCCAUUAACGGCCGUGCGGGUUCGAUACCCGCUCCGGGCA